CAUGUGGUUUAAUUCGAAGCAACGCGAAGAACCUUACCAGGUCUUGACAUCCCGAUGCUAUUUCUAGAGAUAGAAAGUUACUUCGGUACAUCGGUGACAGGUGGUGCAUGGUUGUCGUCAGCUCGUGUCGUGAGAUGUUGGGUUAAGUCCCGCAACGAGCGCAACCCCUAUUGUUAGUUGCCAUCAUUCAGUUGGGCACUCUAGCGAGACUGCCGGUAAUAAACCGGAGGAAGGUGGGAUGACGUCAAAUCAUCAUGCCCCUUAUGACCUGGGCUACACACGUGCUACAAUGGUUGGUACAACGAGUUGCGAGUCGGUGACGGCGAGCUAAUCUCUUAAAGCCAAUCUCAGUUCGGAUUGUAGGCUGCAACUCGCCUACAUGAAGCCGGAAUCGCUAGUAAUCGCGUAUCAGCGUGACGCGGUGAAUACGUUCCCGGGCCUU
rnacentral:rRNA from 1 species